UAACACCAUCAUAUAUACUACUCCCCCUUUGAGAAACCCUCUUUCGUUAUACACUCCCCACCAGCCCUAACCCUCAGCUCUGACUCCCUAUGCUCUCCAGCCGUCGAAGCACUUGCCUCUGAACGCUCUCACCUCACGCAGCCCUCGCCUGUAGUAGCUCUCGCCGUCGAAGGUCUGCUCAUCUCCUCGCGUCGCUAGAAGGCCGUUUCGGAGUUGCUGCUCGCGAUGCCGUCUCUGCCCUCUUCGUGAAGCUCGGACCUGUCCUCGUCGUCAUCGUCGGUUCAGAUCUGCUGCUGGCUCGCCUUCUCGUCUCCAGUGCCAGGCGGUCCAGCUAAUAAACAUUUGGAGCUAGACGAUGUGCUUGUUCGUAUCAAUGGAAAAGUAAGUGUGUCAUGAUACACAAUUUUAGUACAUCACAAAAUCAUGUAAUUUUUUCUAGUACAUCACAUCAGAUCAUUUCAUAUUAUGUCACGUAAUCAUAUAAUUCUUUCAACAAUUUUUUUUUUUAGGUUUAGUAGUAGUUUCAUAAAUUAUGUGAUGAGUUUAGUCAUGACCUAUGAUCUUAUUGGUCAUAUCAAAUAAAUCUUUUAUACUUUAUGGUCAAUUGAACCAUGUUUCAUUCUUACAUUAUUUUCGAAUGUGUAUUUUACUAUUGACAUUUUGUUUUUAAGAUAUCAUUAUCUUGAUUUUUUAUU